CAGUCGCCACGGUAAUACGGGGGGGGCAAGUGUUAUUCGGAAUGACUGGGCGUAAAGGGCACGUAGGCGGUGAAAAGGGUGGAAAGUGAAAGUCGCCAAAACACUGGCGGGGUGCUUUCUUGACCAUUUCACUUGAGUGAGAUAGGGGAGAGUGGAAUUUCGUGUGGAGGGAUCAAAUCCUAAGAUAUACGAAGGAACGCCAACCGCGAAGGCAGCUCUCUGGGUCCCCACUGACGCUGGGGUGCGAAAGCAUGGGGAGCAAACAGGAUCAGAGCCCCGGUAGUCCCUGUCUCUUAUACAC
rnacentral:rRNA from 1 species